rnacentral:rRNA from 1 species
AUACGUAGGGUGCAAGCGUUAAUCGGAAUUACUGGGCGUAAAGCGUGCGCAGGCGGUUUUGUAAGACAGUGGUGAAAUCCCCGGGCUCAACCUGGGAACUGCCAUUGUGACUGCAAAGCUGGAGUGCGGCAGAGGGGGAUGGAAUUCCGCGUGUAGCAGUGAAAUGCGUAGAUAUGCGGAGGAACACCGAUGGCGAAGGCAAUCCCCUGGGCCUGCACUGACGCUCAUGCACGAAAGCGUGGGGAGCAAACAGGAUUAGAUACCCUGGUAGUCCACGCCCUAAACGAUGUCAACUGGUUGUUGGGGAUUUAGUUUCUCAGUAACGAAGCUAACGCGUGAAGUUGACCGCCUGGGGAGUACGGCCGCAAGGUUAAAACUCAAAGGAAUUGACGGGG